rnacentral:rRNA from 1 species
CAGCAGCCACGGUAAAACGAAGGGGGCUAGCGUUGUUCGGAUUUACUGGGCGUAAAGCGCACGUAGGCGGACUUUUAAGUCAGGGGUGAAAUCCCGGGGCUCAACCCCGGAACUGCCUUUGAUACUGGAAGUCUUGAGUAUGGUAGAGGUGAGUGGAAUUCCGAGUGUAGAGGUGAAAUUCGUAGAUAUUCGGAGGAACACCAGUGGCGAAGGCGGCUCACUGGACCAUUACUGACGCUGAGGUGCGAAAGCGUGGGGAGCAAACAGGAUUAGAUACCCCAGUAGUCCCUGUCUCUUAUAC